rnacentral:rRNA from 1 species
GACGAACGCUGGCGGCGUGCUUAACACAUGCAAGUCGAGCGGAGCGGCGAACGGGUGAGUAACGCGUGAGUAACUGCCCCCCUCUCUGUGGUAACAGUUGGGAACAGCUGCUAAUACCGGAUAGUGGGGGAUGAAUCGCGGCCUAUCAGCUUGUUGGUGGGGUAGUGGCCUACCAAGGCGACGACGGGUAGCCGGCCUGGGAGGGCGACCGGCCACAUGGGGCUGAGAUACGGACCAAACUCCAACGGGAGGCAGCAGUGGGGAAUAUUGCACAAUGGGGGAAACCCUGAUGCAGCAACGCGCGUGCGGGAUGACGGCCUUCGGGUUGUAAACCGCUUUCAGCCAUGACGCGGUAGUGGCAGAAGAAGCACCGGCUAACUACGUGCCAGCAGCCGCGGUAAUUC